rnacentral:rRNA from 2 species
GUAGCGGUGAAAUGCGUAGAGAUGUGGAGGAACACCAGUGGCGAAGGCGACUCUCUGGUCCUGUAACUGACGCUGAGGAGCGAAAGCGUGGGGAGCGAACAGGAUUUAGAUACCCUGGUAGUCCACGCCGUAAACGAUGAGUGCUAAGUGUUAGGGGGUUUUCCGCCCCUUAGUGCUGCAGCUAACGCAUUAAGCACUCCGCCUGGGGAGUACGGUCGCAAGACUGAAACUCAAAGGAAUUGACGGGGGCCCGCACAAGCGGUGGAGCAUGUGGUUUAAUUCGAAGCAACGCGAAGAACCUUACCAGGUCUUGACAUCCUCUGACAAUCCUAGAGAUAGGACGUCCCCUUCGGGGGCAGAGUGACAGGUGGUGCAUGGUUGUCGUCAGCUCGUGUCGUGAGAUGUUGGGUUAAGUCCCGCAACGAGCGCAACCCUUGAUUUUAGUUGCCAGCAUUCAGUUGGGCACUCUAAGGUGACUGCCGGUGACAAACCGGAGGAAGGUGGGGAUGACGUGAAAUCAUCAUGCCCCUUAUGACCUGG